AGAGUUUGAUCCUGGCUCAGGGUGAACGCUGGCGGCGUGCUUGACACAUGCAAGUCGAACGGUAUGUGGCAACACAUAGAGUGGCGAACGGGUGGGUAACACGUGGGAACGUAUCUUUUGCAGGGGGAUAACUGACCGAAAGGACAGCUAAUACCGCAUAAGUCCGAGAGGAGAAAGGUGCAACAGCAUCGGCAGAAGAGCGGCCCGCGGUCCAUCAGCUAGUUGGUGAGGUAAGGGCUUACCAAGGCGACGACGGAUAGCCGGCGUGAGAGCGUGGCCGGCCACAAGGACACUGAGAUACGGGUCCUACUCCUACGGGAGGCAGCAGUGCGGAAUUUUAGAUAAUGGAGGGAACUCUGAUCUAGCGACGCCGCGUGCAGGAAGAAGGUCUUCGGAUUGUAAACUGCUGUGGUAAGGGAAAAAUGCUAUGUAGAGUGGAAAGCUACAUAGAGGGAUGGUACCUUACUAGAAAGCCCCGGCUAACUACGUGCCAGCAGCCGCGGUAAUACGUAGGGGGCGAGCGUUACCCGGAAUCACUGGGCGUAAAGGGAGCGUAGGUGGCCUAACAUGUCAACUGUGAAAACCCGGAGCUCAACUCCGGACUUGCAGUUGAAACUGGUAGGCUUGAGGACGGUAGAGGAAGACGGAACUGCCAGUGUAGGGGUAAAAUCCUUAGAUAUUGGCAGGAACGCCGGUGACGAAGGUGGUUUUCUGGGCCGGUUCUGACACUGAUGCUCGAAAGCCAGGGGAGCGAACGGGAUUAGACACCCCGGUAGUCCUGGCCCUAAACGAUGUUCACUAGGUGUGGGGAGCGGAAAGCUCUCCGUGCUAAAGCUAACGCGAUAAGUGAACCGCCUGGGGAGUACGCCCGCAAGGGUGAAACUCAAAGGAAUUGACG
rnacentral:rRNA from 1 species